GGCCGGUUGGUGUAGUUGGUUAUCACGUAUCGUUAACAAGUGACCAUUUGGUUGUUUGGAUUCCGAUAAGGUCCUGAGUUCGAGUCUCAGAUUGGUCA